GAGCAUUAUCUAUGAAUCUGGAUCCCCAGUGGUAGGGCAAGAUCCUUUGCAAAACCUGGGGUACUGACAGAUAUCCAGAGAGCGCUCGUGUGAUAAACGCUGCAAUGGCUGAUUGUGAACCACAAUACCACAGCAGCAUGAAAUCUGAGAAGACAGGCUCUGGGAUCUCUUGCCAUGUCGCAGCUGGAGUACCAUUGCCCUUCAACGCAUUCUGUUUCUCUUUGCUUGCUUGUCUGAUCCAAUGAUUUUCAAAUGAUCUACCUUCCAAGAAUCCUUUCCACAUUGACCUAUCUGUUGAGGAACCACAGUAUGGCUGCCACAGAACCCUUGCAUGUUGCAGAGGAUGCUGGGACAUAUUCUUGGGCACAGUAGAUGCAGAGCAUCACCUAGGUCUGUAGUGCCUCAUUGUGGCUGUGUGUUGCAGGGGAAGAUCAACCAUGGUGGGCAAACAGCCCUGCAGGGACACUUGUCUGUCAUCACUGAUCUCCUUGAGAAACCCUUGAUAAGCUUCCAAAGAACUACGUGGCUCCCUGGCACACAAUCUGAAAACCAGUGGUCCUUAAAAGCCUGGGUAAAUCAGACAAGAUGAGGACUUGCAAAAUAUAGCAUACCAUGCAUUUCAUUGAACUUCCUGCACUACCAGCUUCCUUUCUUCUAUCAGCUUGCCCUUCUGAGCUUGCCAAGUUCUUUUAACAUGCUUGGAGCUUGCAAAGCCCUUGCUUUUAAUUAAUAUGUUAUCUUUUUCAGUUGUUAUAUGUGUUAUUAAUACAAAUAAAGACUUCAAGCAAGAA